rnacentral:rRNA from 1 species
CUACGGGUUGCACCAGCAGGGAAUAUUGCACAAUGGACGGAAGUCUGAUGCAGCGACGCCGCGUGGAUGAUGAAGGCCCUCGGGUUGUAAAAUCCUUUUCAGGGGGACGAGGAAGGACGGUACCCUUGGAAUAAGCGUCGGCUAACUACGUGCCAGCAGCCGCGGUAAGACGUAGGACGCAAGCGUUAUCCGGAUUUACUGGGCGUAAAGCGUCUGUAGGCGGAAUGGUAAGUUGGACGUGAAAGCUCCGGGCUCAACUCGGAGAGGUCGUUCAAUACUGCCAAACUAGAGGGCAUCAGAGGAGCGUGGAAUUUCCGAUGUAGCGGUAAAAUGCGCAGAUAUCGGAAGGAACACCAAUGGCGAAGGCAGCGCUCUGGGAUGAACCUGACGCUAAGAGACGAAAGCUAGGGGAGCGAACAGGAUUAGAUACCCGGGUAGUC